GAAGAGUCGCGUUAGCAGCAUCCAAACGGGGUCUCGUGCCCAUCCAUGCUGCGGGGAAAGUCCCCGUGCCUUUCGACAGAGAGUGUCGGCACAAGUGUGCGAACCUCUCCGACGCUUCCGCGUUUCCCCUGAGAGGCUUUCGGGCCGAGAAGGGGUGCGGGCGAGGAGAGCUGCUUGCACUGGACGGAAUGCGAUUCUUUCAGCGUCCGUCCUCCUCUGUGAGAUUAUGCGACAGUCGGCAAUCCGUACAGGCUCUUGUCGGCAACUCAAUGGGGCUUACUCUC
rnacentral:RNase_MRP_RNA from 1 species